rnacentral:rRNA from 1 species
CCUAAGGUAGCGAAAUUCCUUGUCCACUAAUUAUGGACCUGCAUGAAUGGUGUAAUGACUGCCCCGCUGUCUCAAAAAUGGAUUCGGUGAAAUUGAAUUCUCCGUGAAGAUGCGGAGUGUAAGCGCCUAGACGGGAAGACCCUGUGCUUCUUUACUAUAACCUUUUAUUGAAACCUGGUUUAUCUUGUGUAGAAUAAGUGGGAGUUCCCUUUUGGGGACACUAGUGAAAUACCACUCUUGAUU